rnacentral:rRNA from 1 species
GUUUGAUCUCAAAUCAGGUAGGACUA